UUCCAUUGGCGUCACCGUCUGGAAUAUACAUAACGGGCCGAAAAACGUCUCCAUCAUCAUCUCCACGUAUCCUGGACCGAUUUGCUGGACGUAGACGUCCAGGUGCCAGAGUUUGUACUUCUCGAAGAUUAUCAGACUGUGCCUCAACGUUGUGGAGCUAUGGGGUGUCCAACCGACGUUCGUCCAGGAAUGUCGGGCGAUCCUCGCAAGCGGAUGGAUAAAGUUUGAUAACACCGCCGGUCCGUGAACAGCGCUUAAAUGUGCCGUGUCCGCGCCAUUCUCAGCAACUUCCUGCGGCAAAAGCAACAUCAUCGUUUCAGCUCCUGGUACAAUAAAUUAACAGUUUUUUUUUCAAUGACUUUAUGAACAUUUCGGGGAAUCAGUUUCACAGGGUCGAUAUUCCGAUAGUCGCUAAAAUCGGCAAUUUUUUGUUCGAAAUACUUUUUCAAAAAAUCGAUCAGAAACAUCUAUCGAAACUUAGAAGUGUAUUAAUGAAUAGCAUGGACGUUGUUCGCCAGCCGGGGAAUACUGAAACUGACCUGUAUAUGGCAGUUGAUAAGAUACUCGUUUCGGCCCUGAUAACGCCACGUGCGAUUCGAAACAUUGCUGACCGUUUGCGGCUGCCAGGUGGGCUCUAAUCCUUCCGCGUGAUACCAGACGAAAAUAAUUCCGUUCGCUUCGCAACAUUUCCAUGUCUUUGUCCUCGCUAUGUGCGGCACUGUACAAUGGCAGACAUCGAAAUAAUUUUUGUUAAAUCAAGAAAUAGGAACGAACGAAAGUGUUGAGAUGUAUCGGAUAAAAAUUAGAUAAAAUCCAGUGAAAAAUUACAGAUUAUAUCGCGUUGAGAGUGCGCGAACAAUAGUAUCGGCAGCUUAGCUUCAGUUCUUGAGAGAUUCAAUUUCAACGCUAUUACGAUUCAAUUUUAACGCAUUUACGAUUUUAUAUGUUAUAUAGAAAAAGUAAAAUAAUUCUUUUGAAAACAUA